GGGCAGCACUGAAAACAAGCACUUGCUGAUGAUGUCAACUGGAUAAUGUUGUCUCUGGAAUGGAAGCUCUUAUCUAACAGCAGCAGGAAGAUUGUGGAUAACCACUUGCCAUGCUUAAGAAAGAAUAUUUCAUUAUUCAAGCCACCUGGCAUCCAUUAUCCAGACCACCUGGCAUCUGGGAGAUUACCAUCCGGAGCCAAUCUGUGGGCUAAGAACUGACUAUUUCAAACGUGUGCUUUUCACUGUAAAACCUCUCAAACUUUCCUUUCUCCUUUGUAACGCUGGGUAUUGCCCACCUGUGUUUGUGAUUUGCAAAUCCUAAGACCCUUGAAUAAAUCUUUGUCAUUUACUUUUA